rnacentral:rRNA from 1 species
GGCUGAAACUCGCCUAUAUGAAGUCGGAAUUGCUAGUAAUCGCGGAUCAGCAUGCCGCGGUGAAUACGUUCCCGGGCCUUGUACACACCGCCCGUCACACCAUGAGAGUCGAUAACACCCGAAGCCUGUAGUCUAACCAUAUGGGGGACGCAGUCGAAGGUGGGAUUGAUAAUUAGGGUGAAGUCGUAACAAGGUAAC